UAUGAUUUUAUUAUGGUUGUUCUGCAGCGAUUUUUCAAUUGAUGUUAUAUCAUAAUUUGGGUAAGUAAAAUUUUAUUGCUAUAAUUUUUCUGAAUUUCGGAACGUAUUUAAUAAAUUCUGUUUUAUCUAUGGUAUGGAUAUUUACUUUGCAAUAAUUUUCAUGACAUGAGACUACAUUUUGCUGCAAUUACAAGCGAUUUGAUCUGGUUUUGUUAUAAUUUCGUUUCAAUUUUAUGCGAAUAGUUUUUGUGUAUUUCGGAUUCCGUUUACAUCUAGGUACCUACUAUGUCGGGGUCCUACGAGAAAGCUGGCGUAUCAACCCCACGAAUAUUCAGGCGCCCGUAAAUCGUCAAAACGAGUGAAAAGCGCAUUCAGUUGGAUACAUGUGGACGACAAGAUAGUAAACCUGUAAAUUAUAACUCAAGUUGUGGCCAGCUUCAUUGUAAACAAACUUUAGUUUUCAAGUUCAAGGACAAAUGCGUGUCAGUAACAUGGAUAAAUGCUACUUCAUAUGUUUUAUUUCAGUCAAUGAACCUUUGACUGUUAUAGAAGUUUGUCGAGAUAAUAUAAUGACUUUAUCAGCAAUAUGAUGCCAAAGUUAAUACACUUUUUUAAAGAAUGUAUUCUGCCAGAAAUAGUUUUGAGACAUGUUCAAAAAAUGCGAAAUGUAUACCUAGGUAUGAAAGCAGCUGUGUAGCGGUAGUUUCCAGGCAAUAAUGAAGAAGGAUGAGUGAAAACAACACGACAAAUGUUUUUUUAUUGUACUAUUAUAGUAGUGUGUUUAGAAUCUACAUUAUCAAUGUUUACAGUCAUGUUUUUUUUGAUGUCAGAAAACUGAAAUGGUGUACUCGUCGUAAUGAACAUAAUGUUCAUAAUGUGAUAUGAAUACAUUGACCUAUUUUAAGGUUUCUGAAAAACAAAAAGGAAAGUUGUUGCUUUUUUAUUUCCUUAUGUAGUAUAGUGAUUAUGGAUGCUUAGAUAUUCUCAAACAUUUUUCCGCUUUGAUUGCAAUCUAUUAUUCUGGUUGCCUUGUUUAUGAAUUAUAGUUUUGAAUUAUUAUUUUGAAUGAGAUUAUUUUUUAAUAAUCAGUCACGUAUCAAGCAUUCAUGUCACAUAAAUACUUGUAAUAAUUGCAGGUUAGUAUAUACAUUCUAUUAAAUAAUGUAUAAGAUAAUAAAAUAAAACUGUCUUACAUUGCA